CGUAUAGCGAGGGAGAGGGCAGCGCGAUGCACUUGCAUCACACAGAAAGGCAGAAGAUGCAAAAGAAAAACGACCCAUGCAACACGCAUCUGCCAUCAGCACAGGAGAAACCUGCCAGACGAUGAAAUCCAAGGGUUGAUCAGACCUCGGUGCAGGGCUUUAACUGCCAAGGCAAGGCAAUGCAAGAGAAAUGGAAGACGCUUCAACUUCGUCGCAGUGCAUGAGCUCUGCCUACAACAUUAUCGAAUGCAACAGGCUGCCAUAUGAUCCAGUGGUCACCGUCUGAUUCGUGAGCUUGUCUUUCCUCUCGCCAUCUCCAGUCUUUUUCUUCGCCACAACACCUUUAUCUACAGACAUCUUCGCCAUCUACACAGACAUCUUCGCCAUCUACAUAGACAUCUACAUAUCCAGUCAUCAUAGUCGCCAUCACCAACAUCACCAUCAACAUAGAACUACUUCAUCUCAGCAUUCAUCAUUAUUAUGUUGUCUCUUCCAUCGUGUGAUCCAUGUGAAGAUGAUGCAGAAAGAAGUCUGUGUUUGAAGUCAUCAACUACUCUUCUGGGUCCUACCUGACACCUGAACUGUGAUGAUUCACGCAACAGGUUGGCACUGGGUAGAUGAUAAGCAGGUUCUUAGAGUCAACGGGUAAGGAAGUCAUACUUUUAUGUAGCAUUAAUGCCUGCAAAUGCAAUGACAUUUUUCUCUAUCAGUGGUACAAAAAAUGAAAAUUAUUUGGGAUUUAUAUAUUACACAUUGGACACAAUUGGAAGAGAGUUAAAACAUGAAGGUUUAAUGGGAUCACAUUUUCUCUAUCAAUUGAACAAAAUUAUAAGAAAUAUUUAGAAUAUAUAGAUUACACAUUGGACACAGUUUAGCAGGAUUAGUAAAACAUGAUGGGUAAAAUGGGAGGGGGUUGAAGUUCUUACCUAUUUUCCAGACUAUAGUUAUAAUGACAAAGGUCAGAUCAUAUCAUUUCAUGUCAUGUCAUUCCUACAUUUCAUUUCUACAUUUCAUUCCUACAUUUCUUGAUAUAAUUUUAAUUCAACAUUCUACAUUCUAACAAUGCAAUUUGUAUAUACAUGUAGGCAGAAACUAAACCUAAGAAAAACGCAAAACGGGAUAAAAUGAUAAUAAAGUCCAUGAUCAAAAUAAAUAUCUCAAACAAGGGCAGAUUGAUCCAAAUUCCCUACUGGUUCCUCCAUUCCACAGAGGAUUUUUAAUUGGUUUCAGAGUGUCUUAGUCACUAUGUGGAAGGAAUCCAAAUUAAAGAGGGCAUUAAUACAUGUGUACCCUUGAUUCAAAAUGCAGAGAGUCACGGACAAAUUAAGUCAUGAUCAAAUUCAUGAGAAAGGCUCUUUCGUGCACUGGCCCUCCGUUUUACCUCCCAUCCCUGGGGCGUUGGUAACUGUGGCCCAGACCGACAUGAAAGCAAUUGCUUUAUGCAGUCUGGUUUGCACAAAGAUGCAGCAUUUUCAUAUUCAGCUAUCCUCCAAGUUUUGCCACACCUCCUUUAUAAGAUGUAACAUAUACAUGUAGAACAUCUUAGAAGAGUUCACCAUCAUUUUUUUUACUCUUGGUGAAAGAGGGAUGAUGAAUUUGACUGUAAUGAUAUAUAAACCUUUAUCAAGAAUUAUCAUUAUUAUUGGUACCAGUUGUCAUGGUAAUCUUGGCUACCUCAUCAGUUCAGGGCAAUUCAUGCUUGAGUAUUUGAUAUGCCAAGCGAUGAUGGAGUAUAUCAGAAUCAUAUCAGAAGUAUGGCUGUCAAUUAGUUGCACCUUGUAAAUAAUGUCUGACGUCAUGUCUGAACUUUCAGUUUACCCUGAGCUGGUAUAAUAAUACUACAGCAUUUGUUAUGCGCCAUCAAUCUAGUUAACUAUUCUAAGGCACAGAGGGAGAUUAUUACCCUGGCUUUAGCACGGCUGCCAUUACGGCGCUCUAGCAUUUCAAGGAAUUAAUUCCUGCCAGCUACCCAUUUACAUCGUGUGGGCUGAGUGUGGCAAAUGUAGAUCAAUGUCUUGCCAAAGGACAUUUUUGUACAUGAUGUUUAGUGGUCAUUGAUACCAACAAUCUGCAAUACAUGUAUGCUAGGAGACCAGUCUGAAACCACUGCCUUUUCUAUUGCAAUGAUUUAUGCCAACAGAAAUGGCAUUUGAUAACAAUAAUAAUA
rnacentral:lncRNA from 15 species